rnacentral:rRNA from 1 species
AAUGAACGCUGGCGGCAUGCCUAACACAUGCAAGUCGAACGAAGGCUUCGGCCUUAGUGGCGCACGGGUGCGUAACGCGUGGGAAUCUGCCCUCAGGUUCGGAAUAACAGCGAGAAAUUGCUGCUAAUACCGGAUGAUAUCGCGAGAUCAAAGAUUUAUCGCCUGAGGAUGAGCCCGCGUAGGAGUAGCUAGUUGGUGUGGUAAAGGCGCACCAAGGCGACGAUCCUUAGCUGGUCUGAGAGGAUGAUCAGCCACACCGGGACUGAGACACGGCCCAGACUCCCCAGGCAGGCAGCGGUGCGGAAUAUUGAAUAUUGGGGGAAGUCCUGAUCCAGCAAUGCCGGGUGACUAAUGUAGGCUCGAGGGUUGUAAAGCUCUUUUCCACGGGAUGAUAAUGACAGUACCGGGAGAAUAAGCUCCGGCUAAGUCCGUGCCAGCAGCCGCCGUAA